AGUGGUUGCUAUGGUGUUCUGCUGUGUUAGAGUUGUGCUAGGUUGUUAAGUGGUUGCUGUUGUGUUCUGCUGGGUUAGAGUUGUGCUAGGUUGUUAAGUGGUUGCUAUGGUGUUCUGCUGGGUUAGGGUUGUGCUAGGUUGUUAAGUGGUUGCUAUGGUGUUCUGCUGGGUUAGGGUUGUGCUUGGUUGUUAAGUGGUUGCUAUGGUGUUCUGCUGGGUUAGGGUUGUUCUAGGUGGUUAAGUGGUUGCUAUGGUGUUCCAGGCGGUUUGGCAUUUGAGGUGGUUUGCAUUGAAAUUUGGUUUUCACAAAAUACAUCGUAUCAAACAUGCAGUUGCAAUGUUUGAUGCAGUUGCAAUGAUUGAUACGGUGUAUUUUGUGUUUUGUGGUCAAUGCGGAAGUAGUGCGCGUAGUGGCAAAAAUGAUGGCGGGACUUGUGAUUUAUGGAGG
ensembl:lncRNA